rnacentral:rRNA from 1 species
AUGGCCGGGAUGGACCCUGGCGCCGGCGAGCCCCGGGGCGCGUCGCACUACCUCGACCUCCUCCUCGCGCAGCAGCAGCAGUCGACGCCGUUCUCCCCCUUCGCGCAUGUCAAGGCGGAGCAUCACUCCAUGGCGUCGCCGGUCAGGAGCCCCGCCUCCGGCGCCGGGGCCGGGCAACACGGGGGCGGCGCCGACCAGCAGCAGCCCUCCUCAUCGGCCAUGGUGCUGGCGGACGGCGGCGGGGGGCCCGCGCGGCCGAUGCGGCGCCCGCGGGGGAGGCCGCCGGGGUCCAAGAACAAGCCCAAGCCGCCCAUCAUCGUGAUGCGGGACAGCCCCAACGCGUUCCACUCCCACAUCCUCGAGGUCGCCGACGGCGCCGACAUCGUCGAGUGCCUCGCCGAGUACGCGCGCCGCCGCCGGCGCGGCGUCUGCGUGCUCAGCGGCGCCGGGGUCGUCACCAACGUCGCGCUUCGUCAGCCCGGCGCGCCGUCGUCGUCGUCGCCUGGCGGCCUCGUUGCCACCCUGCAGGGGCAGUUCGAGAUCCUGUCGCUGACGGGCACGGUGCUGCCGCCGCCGGCACCCCCGGCUGCCAGCAGCCUCGCCGUGUACCUCGCCGGCUGGCAGGGGCAGGUCGUCGGCGGCAGCGUGGUCGGCCAGCUCGUCGCCGCGGGGCCCGUGUUCCUCAUGGCCGCGUCGUUCGCCAAUGCCGUCUACGAGCGCCUACCGCUGGAGGGGGAGGCAGAGGAGGCCGGCACGGCCACCGCAGCCACAGAGGCGCAGGGAGCAGCCGCAGCAGCGCAGUCCCCCGGCGCCUUACCGCAGCAGCCCGCGGCGUCGCAGUCGUCGGAGGUGACCGGAGGCGAGGCCGGUGGGCUUGGCAUGCCGUUGUGCAAUCUUGAAGGGAAUGUUGGGAGCUACCACUUGCCCGGACCCGGAGACAACUUGGGGAGCUGGAGCGGCGUCAGGCCAUGA